CACCAUGAAUUGAAUCGAACGACGGGGCUAUAUUGUA
rnacentral:tRNA from 1 species